rnacentral:ncRNA from 2 species
GGUCGUAACCAGGGGUGCUCCGAAACGGGGGCUGAGAUGCGCGGCGCCGCGCGGACCCUUUCAAAGCUGAUCCGGAUAAUGCCGGCGGAGCGAGGUCCCAUGUUCCACGA